CAACUUUUGCUGAGGUGGUCUCCGUGGGAGAACGAAUUGAAAGUCAAAUCAAGAAGGGAAAGCUACCUUGUGUUGCCAAUGCUUCAAGUGGGAUGAAGAAACCCUAUCCCAAUCUCCCAAAGAAGCCAGAAAGGCAGACUAACACCAUAAUGAGAGGAGGAGGAUAUAGGGCACCUCCAUAUGCUCAUACGCCUUAUCAUUAGGUUUCCGC
rnacentral:lncRNA from 1 species